CAGCUUUUCAGAUACGGAUAUGCCACUCUACUGCUUUCUUUGCUACAAUCAACGCAGGGUGAGAUGAUACCCUGGAGAGCAAAGGGUGUCUUCUGAUGUUUUCCUUCCUUCUAUUUGGAAUGAAGUAUAAAGUGAGAG
rnacentral:lncRNA from 1 species